UGGCUCAGUGGUUAAGAGCACUGACUGCUCUUCCAGAGGUCCUGAGUUCAAAUCUCAG
rfam:Rattus norvegicus chromosome 5, whole genome shotgun sequence.